rnacentral:lncRNA from 1 species
AGGCCAAUUAAAAUUAAUUGAUAGAUUUUCAUCCCCGCCCGCCCCUCUGAAAUCUUCCCGCCCCGAUUUUUUUUUAUUUUUGAAAAAAAUUACGAUUUCCGGAUUUUGUUCAUUUCCGUUACCGGUAACCGUCGAUAAUUUCGUUUCAUGUAAAACUUCCUGUUUCAAAUUUCGGUUUUCGUAUUUCUUAGAGUAUUCUUACUGAAUGAUUAAGUCGAUAUAUUCUGCUGAUCUAUGAUGACAACAUCAUUUACCGAGAAUAGAGAUUGAUUACGAGAAGGGCGUGAAAUAUUCGGGUUACGAGUAAUACGCUGUGUCCAAGAACGCAAAUCGCCGUAUGUCACAAAUGACACAAAUGUUUGUGAGUAAAACACCUUGGAUUUUUUUAUUUAUACAAUGACUUUGUGUCAAGAAAUUUGGACUGUGAAUGAAACCCAAAAGCGUAAGAAUCGUGGAACACAUUUGACUGGAAUAAAGAAAUUGACACAAGCAUGAACUUUUUAGAUUGGUGACCGUAUUUUGAGUUCAGAAAAUCGACAAACAUACGCAUUUUUAAUUUAUUAAUUUAUAGCAAGCUCUUAGAUUUAGAUUUAGCCAUGCCUUUCGUUUUUUGUAGAAAAACAGCAAACAUCCUCUGUCCCAAUACCCACGAUAGAGUCAUUAAACAACUUUAUGUUCUACAUUGUAAUUAUAUUUGCAUCUUGCAUAUUAAGGACCAACCCUAUUAUUUCAACACUGUUUGAGUUUUCAUUUUAUUCUGUACUUAUCGUACUCGUGUUGCAUACCAAUGCAUUUGCUUCAUUUUAUUAGGACAACAAAACAUUGCUUAGAAAGCAAAAUACAUUUGAUGUAGGUAGUCCAACUGAAGAGAGCAUUUCUCCACAUUUCUGCUGUUUACUAUAAAAUAGGUUUCUAAAGCGGCAAUUACAUGUAGAACAGUGGUUGCCAAUCAGAGAUAUAUAUUUACGAAUUUGAAAAAGCGGCACCAGCAUAUGGAGUAUAUGUGUCUCAAUUGAUACGUUACUCUAGAGCUAGCUCAAAGUACGUUGAUUUUGUUGAACGAGGAAUACUGCUUUCUCAAAAGUUGCUAAGACAGGGCUAUGAAUCAAUCAAAUUAAGGUCAUCACUCAAGAAAUUUUAUGGUCGCCAUCAUGAGCUGAUUGGCCAUUAUGACAAAAGUGUGUCAGAAAUCAUAUCUCAGUGAUAUUCUUCCUCAGUCAUAACAACCUUCCAUCAUUACCGAACUGAACAAAGAAAUAACAUGACGGGUGCCGUAUACGGUGCAGGAAAUGCUUACCCUUCCGGAGCACCUGAUUUCACUCCUGGUUUUUAGUGGAGUUCGUGUUGUUUCCUACUUAUUAUUUGUAACUGUUGAUGUAAAUGUCUUUUGUUUUAUGAGUCUUUGGUUACUCCUUGGUUUUGAUUGUUAUUGUCUUAUACACGAUACCUUAUGGAUGUAUUUACAUGAUAUAAGCUUAUUAUUACACUUGCAUAUAUGAAUAACACGUGACAAGAAGGUUUCAUAUGAAAUAAAAAUUUAAAAAAUAAAAUCCUCCCACCCGCCCCAUUUUUUUCAAAAAUUUGGAUGAAAAUCUACUAAUUAAUUUUAGUUGGCCUUA